AGUCGAACGGAAACGAUACUAGCUUGCUAGUAGGCGUCGAGUGGCGGACGGGUGAGUAACGCGUAGGAAUCUACCUGAUAGUGGGGGAUAGCCCGAAGAAAUUCGGAUUAAUACCGCAUAAUCUAUUCGUAGUAAAGUGGGGGACUUUCGAGCCUCACGCUAUCAGAUGAGCCUGCGUAAGAUUAGCUAGUUGGUAGGGUAAAAGCCUACCAAGGCGACGAUCUUUAGCUGGUCUGAGAGGAUGAUCAGCCACAUCGGGACUGAGACACGGCCCGAACUCCUACGGGAGGCAGCAGUGGGGAAUAUUGGACAAUGGGGGCAACCCUGAUCCAGCAAUACCGCGUGUGUGAAGAAGGCCUGAGGGUUGUAAAGCACUUUCAAUUGUGAAGAAAAGCUAGUGGUUAAUAGCCAUUAGCCUUGACGUUAACUUUAGAAGAAGCACCGGCUAACUCCGUGCCAGCAGCCGCGGUAAUACGGAGGGUGCAAGCGUUAAUCGGAAUUACUGGGCGUAAAGCGUGCGUAGGCGGUUUAUAAAGUCAGAUGUGAAAGCCCCGGGCUUAACCUGGGAACUGCAUUUGAAACUGGUCAACUAGAGUAUGGUAGAGGAAAGUGGAAUUUCUGGUGUAGCGGUGAAAUGCGUAGAUAUCAGAAGGAACAUCAAUGGCGAAGGCAACUUUCUGGACCAAUACUGACGCUGAGGUACGAAAGCGUGGGUAGCAAACAGGAUUAGAUACCCUGGUAGUCCACGCCGUAAACGAUGAUAACUAGCCGUUGGGGGGAUUUACCCUUAGUGGCGAAGCUAACGCGUUAAGUUAUCCGCUGG
rnacentral:rRNA from 1 species